rnacentral:lncRNA from 1 species
AUGUCAGUGGCUGUCUCUGGGAUCAGUGGUGUCCCUAUGUCAAGAGGACGUCCCUGGCUCGGGGAGUGUCCCUGUGUUGGGGGUGUCCUUACGUCAGGGUUGUCCGUGAGGUCAGGGGGUGAUCCCUAUUAUCGGGGGGUGCCCCUAUGUCAGGGAGUGUCCAUGGGGUCAGUGGUGUCCCUACGUCGGGGCUGUCCGUGGGUCCCGCCGUGCCGUCGUACGCCGGUAAACAACGCCGCGUCUGCAGCCGCUCCGCAGGCAUUUCUGGCUGUGCCGUGUCGUGCCACUCCGCGCCGUGACAGCCGCAUCCCCACGCAGCCGCCCCCCCCGACGCCUCCGGCAGCUGCGUGGGGCGCUGGGGCCGCUCAGCUGCCGCGCGGGGCGGCUUUGAAGCGCCGCUGCCAUCUGCGCGAUGCAAAUCCCGCGCUGCCCGCGGCGUGCGGAGCCGCUUCCGGAGCCGCGACGGAGGGGGUGGCGGUGCAGCGGCUGCUCCGCCCUCCGGCACCCGCGGCGGCUCCGGGCCGUGGAGGGGGGGGGAAGGAGGGGGGCACCGCCGAUGUCCGCGCGGAGAGCGCCCAAACGAACGCGAGAAGGCGCCGGCGGGGCCGGGACGGAUCGGAGCCGCCGCGGGUCCCCGGCGCUCUGGUGCCCUCCCUUACGCCGACUGCCACAGAGCGGAACCACGGCUGCCCCCCCCUCCCCCCUCCUUUUCCAGCGCUCUUUAAAUGCAAAUCCGGAGGCGAAGCGAUGGACCCCCCCGCUUACCCCCCCCCGCCCCGCGCCGGGGCUGCACGGGGGGGUGGCGGAGGCAGCGAGCGGCCCCCGGGCCCCGGGGAGCUGCGGGCGGCGGCGCGGGCAUGGGGCUCCCCCGGCUGCGGGGCCUCGUUAAUAUUGGAGGAGCUCUUUGUCCGCGGGGGCCGGGGCGGCUCUCGCAAUCGCCUUUCAUCUCCGCGAGGCCGCGGCUCGCUCUUAUCUGCCGCUUCCUCCGCGCCGCGCUCGGGGCGUUUCAUGAUUUCUUUUCCACGGGCAGGGCUGGAAAAAACCCCUCGGCCCCCGGGCAAAGGGCGCCGGGCCCCCCCGGCCUCCGCCCCGCCGCGCCGCGCUCAUCGGCCCCGUGCUCGUCCCCCGGACUCUGCCCCGCGCCGCCCCCAACGCAAACACGCGCGGUGCGGGGCGGUGCGGGGCGGUGCGAAGCGGGACGCGGCCGCGCGGCGCUGUGUGCGGAGCGCUCCGGGCGGUGACACGCGAUCCGCGCUGCCGCGACCUUGCGGGAGGAGGAAGGGCACGCGGCGCUCCCCGCGGCAAUUCAAUCCGCCCCGCGGAGACGCGCUGAGCGCUGCGCGCCCCGACGGCACCGCGCCGUGCCCCCCCCCGGGGCCCCGCCCGCCAAGCACGGGGGGGGUUCUCCCCGCUGCCACCGGGACGCAGAACUGUGCGAGCGCCGGGCGCUGCCCCCCACCUCCCCCGCCCCCGUUUAUUUUAAUGCCGACGCUCGGGACGCAUUAA